rnacentral:rRNA from 1 species
GAAAUUUAACGGAUUUGGCGGCAAGAUAGCCCCUUAGAGGAACCUGCCCUGUAAACGAUGAACCACGAGGGACUCUACUUUCUUUGGUAGUCAGUUUGUAUACCGCUGUUGUCAGUUAGAUUCUUGAGAAUAUUUUCGUUUAUGAAAAGUUCAUUGACUUCAAGUAAAGGUGCAGCUUAUAAGGAAGAUAGAGGUGGGUUACAUUUAUGAGAAUAAAACGGAAAGGAUGAAUGAAACAAUCCUUGAAGGUGGAUUUAACUGUAAAACUUAAGUAGGUUUGGUGAGAGCUCUAUCUUGUGUACACACCGCCCGUC